UACGUAGGGUGCAAGCGUUGUCCGGAAUUAUUGGGCGUAAAGAGCUCGUAGGCGGUGUGUCACGUCGGCCGUGAAAACCUGCAGCUUAACUGUGGGCGUGCGGUCGAUACGGGCAUCACUGGAGUUCGGCAGGGGAGACUGGAAUUCCUGGUGUAGCGGUGAAAUGCGCAGAUAUCAGGAGGAACACUGGUGGCGAAGGCGGGUCUCUGGGCCGAUACUGACGCUGAGGAGCGAAAGCGUGGGGAGCAAACAGG
rnacentral:rRNA from 1 species